rnacentral:misc_RNA from 1 species
AGCCGUGCCCGGGUAAGCUCCGACGGAGUAAGUUUCCGAGCACUGCGGGAGCUCGGCAGUUGUCGAGAUCUUGGCUGCGAUUGCUUCACGCAUUCCUGCUGGGGUGGUAAGUCGGGACCACGUGGGACGCGCGCGGAGUGAAUCCAAGCGCUCCUCCAG